UACGAAGGGGGCUAGCGUUGUUCGGAUUCACUGGGCGUAAAGGGUGCGCAGGCGGCUAAGUGUGUCAGAUGUGAAAUCCCGAGGCUUAACCUCGGAACUGCGUCUGAAACUACUUGGCUAGAGUACUGGAGAGGGUAACGGAAUUCACGGUGUAGCAGUGAAAUGCGUAGAUAUCGUGAGGAACACCAGAGGCGAAGGCGGUUACCUGGACAGUUACUGACGCUCAGGCACGAAAGCGUGGGGAGCAAAAGGG
rnacentral:rRNA from 1 species